rnacentral:rRNA from 1 species
CUACGGGGCGCUCCAGUGGGGAAUAAUGCACAAUGGGCGCAAGCCUGAUGCAGCCAUGCCGCGUGUAUGAAGAAGGCCUUCGGGUUGUAAAGUACUUUCAGCGGGGAGGAAGGGAGUAAAGUUAAUACCUUUGCUCAUUGACGUUACCCGCAGAAGAAGCACCGGCUAACUCCGUGCCAGCAGCCGCGGUAAUACGGAGGGUGCAAGCGUUAAUCGGAAUUACUGGGCGUAAAGCGCACGCAGGCGGCUUGUUAAGUCAGAUGUGAAAUCCCCGGGCUCAACCUGGGAACUGCAUCUGAUACUGGCAAGCUUGAGUCUCGUAGAGGGGGGUAGAAUUCCAGGUGUAGCGGUGAAAUGCGUAGAGAUCUGGAGGAAUACCGGUGGCGAAGGCGGCCCCCUGGACGAAGACUGACGCUCAGGUGCGAAAGCGUGGGGAGCAAACAGGAUUAGAUACCCCAGUAGUC